AUUACCGCGACGACUUAUUCCAGCACUCAAAUGACGUCAUUUGGGUGCUGGAAUAGACUUAUUCUAACACCGAAAUAGAAAAAUUAUAGUACGAAUGCUUCAUAAUUUUUUUUUGCUAUUUGCAUUGUCCUGAUCAAUAUAACAUUGAAUGAGAAAUGUAGCCUUUUUGGAGAGCACACUUCAAACGACUAUCGUGAUAACUUUCUAAACAACCAGUAUGACAAUAAUUUUUUAUGCGGCCUAAAUCAUUUAAAAAUUGUUUAUCCAAAACCACCGACACAAUAAAAUUUUGUUAACGAAGUAAAUCAUUGUGUUCUUCCAAAUCAUUCAUCUAUUCAGGGAAAUUAUCGAAAAAAAAGUCGUAGGCCAACGUAUCGCAAUCGCGAUCGCGCAGUAAAGGAUGGAGUUGGGCUGGAGUGACGUCACAGCAGUUUCACAAAAUAUUUAAUUUUGAAGUUCCCAGCCUAAAUAUUUCGAAUUUAAUUUCACAAAUGUUCAUGUUUUAAUACAUUGCGUUUAUUAGAUAAAUAAAAAAAGUGCAUUUUGAAAGUUGAUCUCUCCUUUAAGUGUGUUUUAUGACUCACAAAAUAUUCGCACUGGAAUGCGGGAUGUCCUUGCCCUGUGCACUGGAAAGAACCCAUCGCAAGAGAUGACGUGUUAUUCGCCCUAUAAAAAGGAAGCGCAAAUAUCGCUAAAAAGUCAGUCAAAUCAGACUAGUUGUGUCAAUUGAAGAAGAAGCUGCCAAAACACCCUGUGCCACCAUCUAAGGCCAGAAUCUAUCAACCCGAAGCAGUCCGAUUGUUCAAUUACAUAGUCAUGAGUCAUGUGGGAAUAAUGGGCAAGUAUGAAGUUUGGGUCAUCGUGGCUUUGGGAGAUAACAGGUAUGCUAUGGUCCGACACGUCAUCCCUCGAUCGGAUUUUUCCUAUGCACGAGGCGAGGUCAUCCUGGUGACCUAAGUGCGAACUUUUAUGUAUCAUAAAAAGCACUUAAAAUUCCAUGCCUUCUCUAAACUCGCCUGCUCUAAUUUUGUUUACGUUACGAAUUCCGAGGAAGUUGCGAGGAAGAGUCUGUGUUAUUGACCGCCUUUUCAACUCCAUAGGUUUGGUCUCUUUACAAUAAAUUUGUAAAACAUUUAUUUUACAUAUUAGGGCCCUUUUUAGCCCGUCACAACCACUCCCCCCUUUACUGAAAAACAUGGGUUUGAAUAACCCAUGUCUUUUCACAAUAUAACUAACCUAAUCAUCUGUAUCUUCCUUCUUGGACUUACAUUAAAAAAUAAAAAUUCCGAAAUUAUGAC